CAAACGCAGUCGUUUCUAAGGACUUGCAUGCUUUCCAAAUGAUUUGAGUUAUUUUUCUUUUAUAUUAAUAUAUAUAUAGUUCAAUUUUAGAUAUACAAAAAGAUACCACAUCAUUUCCGACUGAACCGGCAAAUUAGAAACCGUAAAAAAGAGAAAAUUUUAUUAAUUGCCGCCAAUUUCAUUUUUCCGCGAAAAUAUCCCAACUUCAGAAUGGCGGGCUUGAGUAUGAGUCACAUUGUUGUUUUAGAAGGAAACAACAACGAUCUAGACGAACAAACAAGGUAAGAUGGUAGACUUGUAUGCUCUGUGGUAUAUAUUUUUUUCCAAGUGAAUUUUCAAUAACAGGAAUUGAUAUAUAUAUAUACUUUAGAUCGUUCGAAUUUUUGAGUAAUACAUUAACAGCUUUUUUAAUGAAAUUUUGCGUGAUAUUAAAUUAUCCAGUGUUUCUUUUUUUACAGCUCAAAUGGCUGUUAACAGCAGUAUGAAAUUUGGUAAAAUGCUAUACUAUGCUACUGGUUUGAUAUUCGGGUGUAUUAUGUUGUCGUCCGCAUGCAAACUAAAAAUUUCCGGUUAUAAAGGGAAACUGGUCAGUAAUGAAGUAUUAGAAAAGAAAAUCCUGAAAGUCGAGAGCAUGAUGAGAGAAACACUUGGAAGACAAGAAACGAUGCUCCACAAAAUCAUGGGAAAGGGACACAAAGGUAGGGAAAAAUG
rnacentral:lncRNA from 1 species